rnacentral:rRNA from 1 species
CCACGCCGUAAACGAUGAGUGCUAGGUGUCGGGGGUCAAACCUCGGUGCCGACGUUAACACAUUAAGCACUCCGCCUGGGGAGUACGUGCGCAAGCAUGAAACUCAAAGGAAUUGACGGGGACCCGCACAAGCAGCGGAGCAUGUGGUUUAAUUCGAAGCAACGCGAAGAACCUUACCGGGGCUUGACAUGGCAGAGAAGAUGGUAGAGAUAUCGUCGUCCUCUUCGGAGGCUCUGUCACAGGUGGUGCAUGGUUGU